ensembl:lncRNA
UUUUUUUUUUUUUUAUUUUUAGGCCCACACUUAGGCUAGGGGGCAAAUUAGCUGCAGCUGCCAGUCUACACCACAGCCACAGCAACACAGGAUCUGAUCCAUGUCUGCGACCUAAACCACAGCUCACAGCAAUGCUUGACCCUUAACCCACUAAGCAAAGUCAGGGAUCGAACUCGUCCUCAUGGAUGCUAGUCAGGCUUGUUAUCGAUGAACCACAAUGGGAACACCUACAAUCAUUUGAUUUUUGACUAAAGCAACAACAACAAACUAACCCACUGAAAGAAGAAAAAUCUUCUCGACAAUUGACAGUGGACUAACUGGACUUCAACCUCUAACUCAAACCAGAGGCAAAAAAAAAGAAAAGAAUAAUUAAUUUGAAAUACAGUCUCAAGUUCAAACCUGAAAAUAUAUACUUCUAGAACUACACAUAGGAGAAAUCUUUAUGAUUAAGGGGCACUAUUUUUAAAGCAGUAGAGGAACAAUAUUAAAGUAUGAUGAAUUAGAUUCUACCAAAAUAAAGACAUUUGGUCAUCUGAAGGUAGCAUUAGAAAAUUAAGUGGCAAGCUAAAGACUGGGAGAAUAUUUGCAAUAAUAUACAGGCAUACCUUGUUUUACUGCACUCCACUUUAUUGUGCAUCACAGAUAUUACACUUUUUACAAAUUGAAGGUUUUUGGCAACCUUGAAUUGAGCAAGUGUAUAUGUACUAUUUUUCCAACAUUUGCUCAUUCCAUGUCUCUGUGUCACAUUUUGGUAAUUCUCACAAUAUUUCAAAUUCUUUCAUUAUUAUUAUAUUUAUUAUGGUGAUCUGUAAUCUUUGAUCAUUGAUGUUACUAUUAGAAUUGUUUUGGGGAGCCAUGAACAACACCCACAUGAUAUAGUAAACCUAAUCAAUAAAUGUGUAUGUUCUUGCUGUUCCACCUGAUGGAGACAGACCACAAGAUUCAUGUUGUUUUCAUGCCUGCUGACACAACACCAUUCUGCAACUGAUGGCCAAGGAGUCAUUUCAACUUUCAAGUCUUAUUAUUUAAGAAAUAUGUCUCAUAAGGCUAUUGCUUCUACAGAGAGUGAUUCCUCUGAUGCAUCUGGGAAAAGUAAAUUGAAAACUUUCCAUGAAGGAUUCAGCAUUCCCAGAUGCCAUUAAGGACAGUCAUGAUUCACAGGAAGAGGUCAAGAUAUCGAUAUUAACAGGAGUUUGGAAGAAGUAGAUUCCAUACUUCAUGGAUGACUUUGAUGGAUCCAGGCCUACAAUGAGGAAAAUAAUUGCAGAUGUGGUAGAAACAGCAAGAGAACUAGAAUUAGAAUUGGACCCUGAAGAUGUGACUAAAUUGCUGCAGUUUUAUGAUAAAAUUUUAAUGGAUGAGGUGUCACUUCUCUUAUGGAUGAGCAAAGAAAGUGGUUUCUUGAGAUGUAAUCUACUCCUGGUGAAGAUGCUGUGAAGAUUGUUGAAAUGACCACUGAGGAUUUAGAAUAUGACACAAACUUAGUUGAUAAAGCAGUGGCAGGAUUUGAGAUGAUUGACUCUAAUAUUGGAAGAAAUUCUCCUGUGAGCAAAAUGUUAUCAAACAGCAAGCAAUUGUUCAUUAAAGGAAUAGUCAAUUGAUAUAGCAAACUUCAUUGUCUUAAGAAAUUGCCACGGUCACUCUAACCUUCAGCAACCACCACCCUGAUCAGUCAGCAGCCAUCAAUCAAUAUCAAGGCAAGACCCUCCAUCAGCAAAAAGAUGAGGACUCAAGGCUAAAGUGAGGGUUAGCAUUUUUAAGCAAUAAAGUAUUUUAAUUAAGGUAUAAAAAUAUUGGGGUUUUUUAGACAUAAUGCUAUUACACACUUAACAGACUGCAAUUUAAUGUAAGCGUAACCUUGUAUGCACUGAGGAACCAAGAUGUGACUCACUGUGGUAUUCUCUUUAUUGCAGUGGUCCGGAAAGGAACCCACAGCAUCUUCAAGGUAUGCCUGUAUGUGACUAGGGACUGC